rnacentral:rRNA from 1 species
UACAGAGGUCCCAAGCGUUGUUCGGAUUCAUUGGGCGUAAAGGGUGCGUAGGCGGCGCGGUAAGUCGGGUGUGAAAUCUCGGAGCUUAACUCCGAAACUGCAUUCGAUACUGCUGUGCUUGAGGACUGGAGAGGAGACUGGAAUUUACGGUGUAGCGGUGAAAUGCGUAGAUACCGUAAGGAAGACCAGUGGCGAAGGCGGGUCUCUGGACAGUUCCUGACGCUGAGGCACGAAGGCCAGGGGAGCAAACGGG